CUGUGCUUUUCUCUUUCUCUCUCCAACACACACACUUCCUGCCCUUUUAGAGAAAGAGAGAGAGAUAGAGAGCUCGAAGUCGGAUAUCAAGAGGCAAGAGACAGACAAGACGGAGUGGCGGUAUCUGGCCGGCCACUUGGUUACGGUGGCGCCACUAUGGUGGUUUAUGGCGGUGGUUUGGUGACGAGAGGUUGUGGGGUGCGGCUAGAGUGAUGGUGAUUGGGUCCGAGCCGAAGGGGGCGGCAAGUGCAGCGACGACGGUGAGGAAGGGGUUGAUGAAGGGGUGGACUUGGGUGGUGGCUCACGACGGAUUAGGGUUCCGGAGGUGCCACCGGCGCCGCGAGUCCAGCAAGAUUCAAGAAGCAAAAACUCAUCUCCUAUGGGCUCUAAGCGACCUAGGCUUUGCUCCAAGCGACACUCGAGAAUCACGGAUUCAGGCGGCGAUGGUGAAUACUGAAUAGUGUUUCAGACGGCGGCGGUUUCGACAGAGGUGCUUUCCUAUGACGAGGAAGACGAUGAAGAUGACCGAGAGCCGAGAACCACGAAAAGUUGGGAGAUUGGGUGAACCACUACGACAACACCAUUGUUUGUCGCUGCUUUAGCCUCUAUAUUGUCCACUUUUUCAUCUGGAGCACCAAGACAAUUGUUCAAGCCUUUAAACCUGAUCUGUUCAGAUUGUUCACAAUGAUUAUAAAAAAAUUUACGGGACGAGUGGGAAUUUCGAUGGGUGUUUGACGGUUUUUGAAGAGAUGAAAGCGCUUGGUGUCAAACCGAAUUUGGUGUGUUAUAAUACGUUGUUAGACGCUAUGGUAAAAAAAUUUACGGGACGAGUGGGAAUUUCGAUGGGUGUUUGACGGUUUUUGAAGAGAUGAAAGCGCUUGGUGUCAAACCGAAUUUGGUGUGUUAUAAUACGUUGUUAGACGCUAUGGGAAGAACUAAGAGAACGUGGCAGGUUAAGUCGAUUUAUCAGCAACUUCUGAGUAGUGGAUUAACGCCUGGUUGGGCGACUUACGCUUCACUUAUUCGCGCAUAUGGUAAAGCGCGGUACGGUGAUGACGCAAUGAUCGUGUACAAAGAGAUGACAGCAAAAGGGAUGAACUUGAAUAAUGUUCUUUACAACACCCUUUUGUCUAUGUGUGCUGAUAUCGGCUUCGUCGAUGAAGCUGUUGAGUUACUUGACGACAUGAAGUCGUGUACGGAUUGUAAGCCCGACAGCUGGACGUAUUCAUCGAUGCUCACAAUAUUCUCGUGCUGCGUAAAGGUCGUAGAGGCAGAGGCCGUGUUGAAAGAAAUGGUGGAGUCCGGUUUCCAGCCAAAUAUAUACGUUUUAAUCUCGCUAAUCCAAUGCUACGGGAAAGCCGACCGUACAGACGAUGUGGUGACAACGUUUGACCGAAUCAUCGAACUUGGUAUAACUCCGGAUAAGCGGACGUGCGGCUGUCUUCUCAAUGUGAUGACACAAACGCCUCGUGAAGAACUCAGUAAGCUUACCAGAUGCGUUCAAAUCGCCAAUCCGAAGCUUGGUAGUUUAAUCGAAGCAGAUGCUAUGGAUAUAGUAGGCUAUUGCCAAUGCUGUAUAUGGUAUUGCACUUAUGAUUUAAAAAGGGUUUGUUAAAGUUAAAUUGCAAUAUGGAUUUUUAAGGCAGUAUCAUACUUAUGCUGAAAGUACAACCAUUGAUUUGGAACUCACAACUCUAUCAAACACCCACCAUGUGGAGCUGAACCCCAGUGAUGCAGGGUUUUAAGACCGGUACAUUGCUCAAGAAAUCAUCAAAGAGAUGGCGAAAAACAGACCAAUUGACACCAAAGGAAAGAAGGGUUUCAAAGGUUUUUAUGUUUGUAAACUGUUUUGGGCUGACAAGCUAAAUCAGCUCCUCCAUUUACCCCUCCUCACCAGCACGACAGAGAGAGAACGGAGGAAUGGCCGCCGCCAACGGUUGUGCUUCACAACAGGGAUGCGACGCUCAUAACAGCGGUGGAUUUUAGAAAAAAGAGAAAACGGACGGAGCACUGGUUAGGGUUUCCAAAAUCCGUUCACCAAUAUCAUCCCUCCGAUAGCACUCUAGAAAUGGUGGUUUAUUGGGUAACAAAUAAGAGGGUUAUGUAUCUCAGAACAAGAUAGAGAUGACGGUGAUGAUUCAGAUAUGGGAGUUCCGGCGACGUGUAGAAAAUCCUCCGGUCACAAAACUCAGGGCCGGCCUUGGGGGUGGGUGAUCCGCACCCCUGGCCGAGGCCUGAUUUCCAAAGGGGCACAAAGAUUCUUUUAUAUAUACAUCCAUCCGCCAAUAAAGAAUGAAGAUUUUUUAAUAGGGGCGACAUCUUUUUGAGCUAUGUUUCUGUACAAUGAUUGGCUGUCGUGUAUGCAUAUCCAGAAUUAUCCUAACUCACCUUAGCGAUGAGCAUUUGGUACUGGGCAAUGUUUUAAAAUCCGGUUUUUAUACCGUACCAGAUUGGGCUCAGAAACGGUUCAACCAUGUGUACCGGACGGUUUAACCUGUUCUACCGGAUGGUUCAACCGGUACUACCAGCCGGUUUACUGGGUACUGGUUCCGAGUUUUCUGUAUUGAAUUACCUUCAUUCGGUACCCACUUUUUGGCAUUUUCGAAACCGGUUUUUUUCAGUUCGGUACCGGUACGUUGCCAGUUUUUACCUUCAGUCUUACCCCGUGUCGUGUUAAUACCAGUACUCAGGAGAAAAAAGGUGGCAGACGGGAGGCGCGUAUCGGUCAGCUUGUAGGAGAAAAAAGGUUGCUCAAACUUGUGGUAUGUUUUCUUUCAUACUACAUACCUUCUACAUUGUGAAUAAACUAUAGCCUAUUGAUACCUUCAUUAAAUUAGAGUUGUUCACUUUGCAAUGAAAAUUAUAGUUUGAACUGCUAACUACGGUUUUGGAAUAUGGCAAACCAAACUGGGUUGGUUGGGUUGCCCAGACUGGCCAAACUAGCCUAAAGAGUUUGGAAAAAAAACUGGCAAAGGAAAAUCGUCUCGGACCUGCUAAACCAACCUUAAAUCGUGGAUGGUACCGUAUAGACACACUACUUCAAAUUACAGGAUGAAUCCCAGGAUUUGUACAAAAGGCAACAGUUGAGAGAGUUGGCUAUUCUAAAGAAUAACCUUCGAUGGCACAACACACAGCCAAAAGGCAGUGUGUCUCCUUUUGGUUCCAAUAGAAUAAAACGUGCCAAGACUAGGUUCCGAGGAACCCGACAUCGUACUCGGGCUACUUUAAAACUAAAGAAUUAUUUAUAUAACGUUGUACUUGUAGUUGUUACUCGGAUUUCUAUGUAGUUGUUACUCGGAUUUCUAUGACGAAAGAAGUAUGAUAAGCUUAAACAAAACUGGUAUGAAUCUGUUCGA